CCCAGACUCCUACGGGAGGCAGCAGUGGGGGAUAUUGCACAAUGGGGGGAACCCUGAUGCAGCGACGCCGCGUGGGUGAAGGAGCGUUUCGGCGCGUAAAGCCCUAUCGGCAGGGAAGAGGGAGGACGGUACCUGACUAAGAAGCCCCGGCUAACUACGUGCCAGCAGCCGCGGUAAUACGUAGGGGGCAAGCGUUAUCCGGAUUUACUGGGUGUAAAGGGGGCGCAGACGGCAGCGCAAGCCAGGAGUGAAAGCCCGGGGCCCAACCCCGGGACUGCUCUUGGAACUGCGCGGCUGGAGUGCAGGAGGGGCAGGCGGAAUUCCUGGUGUAGCGGUGAAAUGCGUAGAUAUCAGGAGGAACACCGGUGGCGAAGGCGGCCUGCUGGACUGCGACUGACGUUGAGGCCCGAAAGCGUGGGGAGCAAACAGGAUUAGAUACCCCUGUA
rnacentral:rRNA from 1 species